CUGCCAGAUAGAAAGCAUUCCACGAUUAUUCUGGAUUUUUGUUGUUUUGCUGGUGGAAACAUCUCACGGAUCAGUUCGGAUGGGAUUGUAAGCGUGUGGGAGUAAGCGUCAACGAUACUGGUCACCAUGCAAUCACAAAUGUGGAGGAGGUGGCCGCAUUCGCUAUGGAACUUGGAAUGUCCCUACACAACAGCGUUAUGAUGAAAUUUGUAAUUCUGAUCCUUACAAAGAAAAGGCAUUUACUACGGACGCUUGUGACGAUCAAGAAGUUGAAGCGCGAUUAUCCUCUUGAAAUCCUUGGAGCUCAUGUUCGCAUACUUGCGGCGUCGAAACAAGAAUACGUUAUAAGUACUCUGUGUGUCCAUCUGGAAAGGAUUCUGAUGCCUGUCAAGGUCACGACUUCGAAAUGGAACGAUGUCGAAAACGUUCUUCUUGUCGUUUCAAAGAAAGCACUGGCCUGGGAUCACUGGUCAAGCUGGUCUCCAUGUUCUUCCUUAUGCGGAGGUGAUUCAACUAUGCGCAUUCGAAAAUGAUUAUCGAGCGGUAUCGGUCAACAUUUAAUAUGCGGGACACCGUGUGAUAUUCAGUUGUGCAACACUCAUCCUUGUGACCAUUACCGUCAAAAUUAUGCAGCAUGGAGUAGCUUGUUAUUGCCCAAUCCUUGCUCCAGCCGUGUUCUGAAUAUGGUUAUUUCGCUAACACGUUCCGUAUAUUCAGUUGUGGUUCGA